GGAAUUUGCACAAUGGGGGAAACCCUGAUGCAGCCAUGCCGCGUGUGUGAAGAAGGCCUUAGGGUUGUAAAGCACUUUCAGUUGGGAGGAAAGGUUAGUUGUUAAUACCUGCUAGCUGUGACGUUAACAACAGAAGAAGCACCGGCUAACUCCGUGCCAGCAGCCGCUGUAAUACGGAGGGUGCAAGCGUUAAUCGGAAUUACUGGGCGUAAAGCGCACGCAGGCGGUCUGUUAAGCUAGAUGUGAAAGCCCCGAGCUCAACGUGGGAAGGUCAUUUAGAACUGGCAGACUAAAGUUUUGGAGAGGGGAGUGGAAUUUCAUGUGUAGCGGUGAAAUGCGUAGAUAUCUGGAGGAACAUCAGUGGCGAAGGCGACUCCCUGGUCAAUAACUGACGCUCAUGUGCGAAAGCGUGGGUAGCGAACAGGAUUAGAUACCCUGGU
rnacentral:rRNA from 1 species